CUGCGCCGAAGAUGUCCGGGGCUCAAACUUACCACCGAAGCUAUGGGUGUACACUAUGUGUACGCGGUAGAGGAGCUUUCUGUAUGGGUUGAAGUCGUACCGUAAGGAGCGGUGGACUGUACAGAAGGGAGAAUGCUGGCAUAAGUAGCGAGAAAUAAGUGAGAAUCUUAUUGGCCGAAAACCUAAGGUUUCCUGAGGAAGGUUCGUCC
rnacentral:rRNA from 1 species